rnacentral:rRNA from 1 species
AUUGAACGCUGGCGGCAGGCCUAACACAUGCAAGUCGAGCGAGCGGCGGACGGGUGAGUAAUGUAUGGGAAACUGCCUGAUGGAGGGGGAUAACUACUGGAAACGGUAGCUAAUACCGCAUACCAUCAGAUGUGCCCAGAUGGGAUUAGCUAGUAGGUGGGGUAAUGGCUCACCUAGGCGACGAUCCCUAGCUGGUCUGAGAGGAUGACCAGCCACACUGGAACUGAGACACGGCCCAGACUCCUACGGGAGGCAGCAGUGGGGAAUAUUGCACAAUGGGCGCAAGCCUGAUGCAGCCAUGCCGCGUGUAUGAAGAAGGCCUUAGGGUUGUAAAGUACUUUCAGCGGGGAGGCGUUACCCGCAGAAGAAGCACCGGCUAACUCCGUGCCAGCAGCCGCGGUAAUUC